rnacentral:rRNA from 1 species
GACCAGACUCCUACGGGAGGCAGCAGUGGGGAAUAUUGCACAAUGGGGGAAACCCUGAUGCAGCGACGCCGCGUGAGCGAUGAAGUAUUUCGGUAUGUAAAGCUCUAUCAGCAGGGAAGAAGAUGACGGUACCUGACUAAGAAGCCCCGGCUAACUACGUGCCAGCAGCCGCGGUAAUACGUAGGGGGCAAGCGUUAUCCGGAUUUACUGGGUGUAAAGGGAGCGUAGACGGCGAUGCAAGCCAGAUGUGAAAGCCCGGGGCUCAACCCCGGGACUGCAUUUGGAACUGUGUGGCUGGAGUGUCGGAGAGGCAGGCGGAAUUCCUAGUGUAGCGGUGAAAUGCGUAGAUAUUAGGAGGAACACCAGUGGCGAAGGCGGCCUGCUGGACGAUGACUGACGUUGAGGCUCGAAAGCGUGGGGAGCAAACAGGAUUAGAUACCCGUGUA